rnacentral:rRNA from 1 species
CGGCGGACGGGUGAGUAACACGUGGAUAACCUACCUAUAAGACUGGGAUAACUUCGGGAAACCGGAGCUAAUACCGGAUAAUAUAUUGAACCGCAUGGUUCAAUAGUGAAAGACGGUUUUGCUGUCACUUAUAGAUGGAUCCGCGCCGCAUUAGCUAGUUGGUAAGGUAACGGCUUACCAAGGCAACGAUGCGUAGCCGACCUGAGAGGGUGAUCGGCCACACUGGAACUGAGCACGGUCCAGACUCCUACGGGAGGCAGCAGC